UACGUAGGGUCCGAGCGUUGUCCGGAAUUAUUGGGCGUAAAGGGCUCGUAGGCGGUUUGUCGCGUCUGCUGUGAAAACCCGAGGCUCAACCUCGGGCCUGCAGUGGGUACGGGCAGACUAGAGUGCGGUAGGGGAGAAUGGAAUUCCUGGUGUAGCGGUGGAAUGCGCAGAUAUCAGGAGGAACACCGAUGGCGAAGGCAGUUCUCUGGGCCGUAACUGACGCUGAGGAGCGAAAGCGUGGGGAGCGAACAGG
rnacentral:rRNA from 1 species